GCUCCCUUAGUUGAAGAACAACGGUGGUUUUUCAAGCCAUUGGUCCAAGUUAGAGUCUUGGAAGGAGUA